AUGCAUCCAGCAUUUCCAUACCGUCCUUCCCCACUUCCCCUCCUACUAAACCCUCUGCCUCUUUCCUCUCUCUUCCUCGUCGGUCCGGUGGGCGUCGCCCUGCUGCUGCCUUCUGCCGAAGGCCCUCAUCGUCGCGCAUUGCCGGCCGUCGAUGAUUUAGCUUCCAAUCCUUUCUGUGCUGAUGAGAUGGAGCAAAUUUGUACGAUUGUGAGCACACUGACGACGGCCAUGCCAACGGAGGUUGACAAGUUACUUUGCUGGUCUACUGGGUGUCCUUUGUUAUCUGCAACUGCGUGGCUCAAACUCUGCAAGGCCACAAACAUUUUGGACCAUCUGUCCAACUUGUGGCGCCAAAUAUCAGUACCACCAUGCCAUUUUGAUGAAAUUUGUCCGCUGCCAGAAUUGCUCGAAGCCCUUAUAGCACAUGUUUCAACUGAGCAACCUGCUCCUUCUGGUCCAGAUCAACAGUUUGCUGGGGUGUCGAAAAAUGCAGGGGUAUUUUCAGAAAUUAGAUCGCUUCAGAAGUUCGAACCUGGGCAGGUCUGGGCUCUCUACAGUGACAAAGAUAAGUGUCCCAACUGCUAUGCCUUGAUACAGAAAGUAGAUCUCAAGAACAAUAAAGUGCAUGCAAGAUGGCUGGAAGUUUGUUCUGAUGGGGAGGUGGAGAAAAGAUUGGUAGAAGAUCGAACUGUCGGGUGUGGAACCUAUAGGGUUUCCACCACCCGUGAUAUUAUGACUUACACUGGCACGAAACACUUUUCUCAUCCUGUACAUGCGAUAUUCACUGGUAGAAGGAACUCUUAUGAAAUAUAUCCUAGGAAAGGUGAAGUUUGGGCCCUUCUCAAGGGAUGGGAUAUUUGUUGGAGUUCAGAUGCUCACAACCAAAAGAACUACAAGUAUGAAGUUGUUCAGAUCCUCUCCGAUUUCACGACAGGCACUAGCAUCACUGUCAUUCCGCUUGUAAAGAUAAAAGUCUUCAUUAGCUUAUUUAUGCAGUGUAAAGAGGCCACUCCAUACCUGAUACCUCAGGAGGACACGAAAAAAAACAGUUCAUCGAAAGGCCCGGAGUUUGAUGCCAAACAUGCUGGCUCAUCCAGUGGAAAUAAUUCUCACAAGGGAUCCCUGAGGGUUGGGGAGAGGCAACAUGCUACAUGCACGAAUGCAGGGAUCUUUACAGAGACACCAAUGGCAGAGAUCAGAGAACGUAACACUCCAUUUUCUGUAGGGGGUACAGAUGUUGAUGAGCUAUCCGAUCAUAUUGUCCAAGCAAAAUUAUUAUGUCCCGAGUUUUUUAACUUUGACCAACUUAGAGGUGUAAAUCAGUUUAGAGUGAACCAGGUCUGGGCUGUCUAUGAUAGUCGAAGCUGUAUGCCAAGAUCUUAUGUUCGAAUUACAAAGGUAAAGAGGGCCCCCAAGUUUAUGGUACACUUUAUUUGGCUGGAGUUUGAUCCCACAAAUAAAGAGGAGCUGGCUUGGUCUUGUGGGGAACUGCCUGUUGCUUGUGGACAAUUUAGGCGUGGAAAGUCAGAAACAGCUCAAGAAACUUGCAUGUUCUCUCAUACUAUUUCCUGUGAGAAAAGCAAGCUGAGAAACUCUUUUGAUAUAUAUCCUAGGAAAGGUGAAGUUUGGGCCCUUUUUAAGGGAUGGGACAUUGGUUGGAGUUCAGAUGCUGGCAACCACACAAACUAUGAGUAUGAGGUUGUUCAAGUUGUCUCUGAUUUCACAACAGAAACUAGCAUCAUCGUCAUUCCGCUUGUAAAAGUAAAAGGUUUCGUCAGCUUAUUUAUGCAGUCAAAAGGGGGAAGUGCGUACCCGAUACCGCGGGAUAGCACACUGAGGUUUUCACAUUGUGUCCCUCAUCAUCUGAUGUGUGGAACUAAAAGAGAAGGCGUUCCACAAGGAAGUCUUGAGCUCGAUCCUGCAGCACUCCCCCUUCAUUUGGAAGAGGCCUUUGCUUCUGUUGUCCCGGAAAAAAGUUCAGCAAAAUGUCAGGAGUUUGAUCCCAAAUGCCCUGGUUCACCGGGUGGAAAUAACUCUCGCAAGGGAUCCGUUAGGUUCGGAGAGAAGCAAGGUGCGACAUGCAUGAACACAUGGAUAUUUGCAAAGAUGCCAAAAGAAGAGAAGAGAGAGCAUAAAACUCCAUCUGCUGUAGAAUGUGCACAUACUGGUGAGAAAUCUGAUGAUAUUGUCCGAGUAGGAUAUGAAUGUCCGGAUUCAGAGUUCUAUGAAUUUUCAGAAACAAGACUGCUUCACAAGUUCGAACCUGGGCAGAUCUGGGCCAUCUACAGCGACAUCGAUAAGUUCCCCAAUUACUAUGCCUUCAUAGAGAAUGUUGAUCUGAAGAACAACAAAGUACAAGCAAGGUGGCUUGAUGCAUGUCCCCAGGGAGAGGAGGAGAGAAGACUGGUGACAGAAGAUCGGCCUGUUGGCUGCGGAACCUUUAAGGUUUCCACUGUGCAGGGUCUUAUGACUUACACUGGUACAGAAAUAGCAGAAUGCUUUUCUCGUCUUGUGCUUGCUAGACCAACUGGCAGAAGAAACAAGGACUGGAAGGCUGGAUGGACUGCACACAAUUUUAACAGCUGUGACUAUGAGUUGGUGGAGAUAUUCUGCCACACUAAUUCGUCCAUACGAGUUCGGCUGCUAAGAAAGGUUGAUGGUUACAGGGCAGUAUUUACAAGGGAGACAACUGUGGAGACGAUAGGCAAGGAUGAGUACCUGAAGUUCUCUCACCAGAUCCCUUGCUUCCAUCUGACAAAUGAAGGAGGAGGCAAGCUUCGAGGCUGUUUGGAGCUCGAUCCUUAUUCCGUGCCGGAGGAGUUUCUCCUGACUGAUUGA
rnacentral:rRNA from 1 species